rnacentral:lncRNA from 1 species
CGGUUGGACUUUGUGGACUUUGGGUCUAGGCAACACAUCGACUCUCUCGUCAUGUGUUUCGAUCUGGUUGAUCGAGGUUCGGCAUUGUACGCCCUGGUUUCUGGCUUCGGCCUAGGCACCGGCUUUAGCCGGGUUUCGUUUGAGCAUAUCAGCAUGAUCUAGUCACAGCACUGUGUAUUCUAGACACCAGGUUGGUUUGGCCACCAACCAAGUGGUGUACGUUUCCGAAUAGGUCGUCGGUGACGCAUGAAUAAGCUCGCAGUGUCUGCUCUGUGACAGGCAACGCUUGAGGUCUGCGGACCAAUAUAGCAGCAUCAGAUUGGGUAUAUUUGGACUUAUCGUCUGGUUGACGCAUAUAACUAUAGUAGCAGUUGUUGCUUGUAUACCUUCAGUUCUUUCGUUACAUUGUCUUGCUACUAUAGUCUUGUUACAUGUAUACAUUCAGUUGUUCAUUACAGUAGCGGUAGUUGUACUUCUUUUAUAUAUAUGUCUCUUUCAUUUAUUAUUAUUGCUACUGUAUUUUUACUGAUCCGUACUGUUGUUUAGCUCUUCCUGAUCCGGUGAGUACUCCUCGCCUUCAUCGGCUUGCGGUACCCACUGGGAGGGGAGACAUGUUUACAUGUUCUCACCUCCCCCACCAUUUUUCAGGUAUCACGGGCGGUGAGAGUCGAGACGAGAUAUGAGACACGUUCGUAGCGGUCGAUAGAGCUUCCGACCCAGGUUAUUCGAUUUAGUUUCUACCCUUACUAUUAUGUUGAUAUAGCUCAGAUAGUUUAUAUGGUUCAGUAUUUUUAUUACAUUUGAAAAUAUGAAUUUUCAUGAAUGUAAUAAAGGGAUUUGUGGAAUUUGUGAAAUGAAAAAUGAUUUUCUACCCCUUGUGGUAGCGCGUUUUAAAAGAAAAGAGUUUUCGUGUGGGAAACAGCUUUCAAAAGGUUUUUCGUAGUUUUCAUAACUUAGUAUUUCAAGACCCAUUUCUGAGUUGGAAAAGUUUUAACUAAUAGUUAUGAUUUUAUGUUCAAAUCAUGAAUGUGAACCUGUGCUAAAUGGUGUAUGGGUAUAUAUAGAUGUUGGAUGUCUGUAUGUUCACUGUAGUGGUUGUAUCCUGGUUAUAUACUUGUACUUGUGCGACGCCGUGCAAAUACAGGGGAGACUCUGUCUGCGCGAACAGUGGACUCCUUGUAUUUGUGGCGGAUCUGGCAUACCCUGGGGUCAGGCUUUAAAAAAAAAAAAAAAUUUCGCUGUGUUUUAACCUAAAAGGGACCUCGGGGCGUGACAUUGGUACUAUCGAUAAUAUAGUAGCAUAAUUAUACAUAUAUAUACAUAUUUACACACACACACACACACACACACACACACACACAUAUAUAUAUAUAUAUAUAGUGUUAGAUUUUAUUGGGUUUUUGGUGAUUUAAAACUUAUUAGACCUCUUGGGCAGCCCAAUAUUUAAUGGGCCUUGCCUAGAAGUCCAACUAAGGUUUUCAUAUGUGAGAUUUAGUCCCACAUUAGAAACUAAAGGUGUGUUGUUAUUAUUUAUAUAUUGCUUCAUUUUCAAGCUAGUUGCAUUUAUUAUGCUCUCGACUAAACACACGCACGCACGGCAAGAGCACAAGUCGGGCCGGGCAGGCGGCGGCGCCCCCGAUCCAUGCACCUGGUUUAUUUUAUUUUAUUUUAUUUUAUUUUUUCAGUUUUAUCUUUAUCCUAAUCCUAAUUCUAAUCCAUAUCCCGUAUAAUCUUAGGCUUAUCUUGUUCUACACGGAAUUGACACGUUGAAGCAAGAUUCUUGCCUUGGUUAUAUAUAUUGGAGGAGGUUGCGUGAGUUCAACCUGAACCGGAGUAUACCUAAGAGCAAAACCCUAUCCUCUACCUCGUCUUUUCCUACUUUCUCGCCAUUGAUCUUCUGCGCUGAUUUUCGCCGCGCUUUCUCAUAUUUUGCUGGAUCUGAAGUUUGUUAGGUUCGUCUUACGUCAUCUUGAAAUCGUGCCGACGAGGUGGAACGUGGUCGUUGUAUCGCUGGAAGUAAUUGCUCGGAAGUCUCGCACAUGGAGGGGCAAUUUCGCUUCUAGAACAGUGCUCUGCACGCUUCAAUCCACAGGCCUUUUCUAAUUCUUUUCUUUACAGUAUUUAUUAUUUAAUUUCUUCCGCGGAAUUUUUCUAAAACUAAAAUUAAACUUUCAAAUUAUUUUUAAAGAAUAUUUUAAUAAAAGAUCAGAAAGAUUUUCCAACUUGUAGUAGGGCUGUUGUGCUCUUAAAAGCACAACAGCCCCUAUGCUAUAAAGCUCUCGACCUCCAUCAAGUAAGAUAGAGGGCUAAGAUUUAGAGCAGAUUUAGAACCCACCCACUGUUUAGAGCCCGUUAGAGUUAUCAGAGUACUAUUCUUUCUCCUCCUUUUUUUUUUUCUUUUUCUUUCCCCUUCUUCUAUUCUCCUCCCCAAUCUCUCGCCCUCUCCCUCUCAUCUGGAUCACCUUUGUUAAUCCGUCCGUCGCCGCUGGAGAAGAGAUCAGCCUUCGAAGGUACGCCCUCAGCCGCCCUCCCUCCCCGAUCUACCCUCCCUGAAAAGACCUUGCCACCUCACCUGAAUCACCACCCCCGCUCUCGCCUAAAGCUUCCGCAUCACCUCCGCCUCAAAACCCCCUUGUUGCCGGGUACGGCCAACCCCAGGGAGGUGCUGGCAGGUGCGCCGCAACCCCACCCCCCUCCCACGGGCGCUGGCAGAUGCGCCCACCUCUCACCGCGGCCCAUGGUAGGUGCGAGCACCCCCUAGGAAAAUGGGUUGUAUCGAAGUUUCACAAUGUGCAUAAUCAUGAGUUAAUCAUGAGUCCCUCAAAAAGCCGUUUCGGUAGAUCGCAUCGAAAAAUCUAAAAAGAACAAUAAGAAAUAAUUCAUCAAUUGAGUGAGUAAAAUGUUUCAACCUCUCAAAUAAUGUCUUAUUUGGCAGUAAAAGAGGGAGAACAGCAAAAUAUUCACUUCACACGUAAAGAUUUGAUGAACAAAGUUUCGAAAAAAAAAAAUAGGCGACUCCAUUGGAAUUGAUGUAUCUAGUGCCUUAAACUAUUUUCGUGAACUACAAAAUAAAGAUUCAUCUUUCUUCUACUUUGUUGAUGUCGACGAUCAAUACAUGACCCACAACAUAUUUUGGGUUGAUGAGAGAUCAAGAAUGGCUUACAAAUAUUUCAAUGAUGUGGUGACUUUCGACACGAUGUAUAUGACAAAUAAGUAUAGUCUGUCAUUUGCUUCAUUCAUUGGAGUGAACCAUCAUAAACAAUCAAUUUUUUUUGGAUGUGCUCUAAUUAGAGAUGAGACAGCUUAUACAUUCUGUUGACUCUUUUGUACUUUGUUGGAAGCAAUGUUUGGUAUUCAUCAAAAAACUAUAAUUACUGAUCAAGACCUUUCAAUGAAGAAGACGAUUGAGAUUGUAUUUCCAAAUUCCGCCCAUAGGUCAGUGGCAUGUAAUGAGAAAGGCAAGGGAGCAUUUGGGAGUAUUAUAUAACAUCAAGUUAAGAUUUGAAGAAUAAUUGAAAGAUUGUAUAAACUAUAAUUUGACAGUUGAAGAAUUUGAAAAUAAGUGGGCAUCAUUAAUCGAAAAGUACAAGUUGAAUGAUAAUAAUCAUCUUACUUUGCUAUGGAGCACACGACAUCAAUGAGUCCCUAUAUUUUUUUCGAGAUACAUUUUUCGCAAAUAUGUCAAUCUCAAAUGUAGUGAGAGUAUAAAUGCUUGGUUGAAGCUAUUAUUGGACUCUCAUACAUCCAUAUAUAAAUUUAUUAUGCAAUUUGAGAAAAUUACAAUAACUUGUUAUGAAAGAGAAGAUAAGGAAAAUUUCAAGAAUAAAGACGGGGAGACUCACUUAUGGUCUUAUGAUCCAAUUGAGAGGCAAGCUCGUAAUAUCUACACGAUGGCUAUUUUCUUUGAGUUUAGAAAGUAUUUAAGGGCUUCCACGGCUUAUUCCAUAUUAGAAUUAGAAAAAAAUGUACUAUACAAAAUCAGUCCACUAACGCAAUCUAAUAUCCAAAAACAACGACUUCGCUCAUAUAUGGUUUCUGUAGAUGUGCCUAAUAUGAAGGUUAGUUGUAAUUGCAAAUUAUUUGAAUUCUUCGAAAUUUUGUACUCAUAUUGUCUAAAAGUGUUGCCUUACAUAAAUAUGCAUUCCAUUCCACCACACUAUAUCUUGAAACGAUGGACCAAAGAUGCUAAGAAGGGGACAACACAACAAAAAGUAGGAAUUCUUGCAAAUAAUGAAACUACAUACACAAAAGAGAAAAUAUUAGAGAUUCUUCGACCUAGAGUGGAAGCAAUACUAUCAGAAGAUACAAAAGUAUGGCGGCAUUUGAGGUUGCACAUCGCAAAGUACAGAUAGUUGUUGAUGGGCUUACUUCACUUGAACAAGAAACUAUUUAAUACAGGGAGAAGAGGGAAGAUGAUGAUGCAUGUGAUCAUAAUUUGGCUAUGAUUUCUCAAUCAAGUCAAAUAAAUCAACGUGUAAGAGGAUAUGCGCUAAAAAAUCCUCCGCAAUCGCAAUGUAAAGGCAAAAGGAGGCCGCAGAGGUUCAGGCCAUAUGUUGAAAAAAAAGCUAAGAAAAGUACAGAUAGUUAUUGAUGGGCUUACUUCACUUGAACGAGAAACUAUUCAAAACAGGAAAAAGAGGAAAGAUGAUGAUGCAUGUGAUCAUAAUUUGGUUUUGAUUUCUCAAUCAAGUCAAAUAAAUCAACGUGUAGGAGGAUAUGUGUUAACAGAUCCUCUGCAAUCACAAUGUAAAGGCAAAAAAAGGCUGCAAAGGUUCAAGCCACCUCUUGAAAAGAAAGCUAAGAAAUCUAGGACAUGUCAAAUAUGCAAAAAGAAAAGCCAUAAUAGGUGAACUUGCAAAGAGGCUUCCAAUAUAUUCGAUGAUAAUCCUCCACACUCGAGAUAGACAGCAAUGAAAGCCGUGAAAAUGAUGAAGAUAGUGAAGAAUAAAAUUAGUAUUUUUUUGGAUGUUUAAUGUACUAUGCACUUUGGAAGUUCAAAUAUUGUAUUUUAGAUAUUUAAUGUACUAUAUACUUUGAAAGUUCAAAUGUUGUAUUUUAGAUAUUUAAUGUACUUGUUUGGCUGUUGUAAUUUAUUUAGAAUGUUGGAUGUGAUGUUGUAUCUUUUUGGAUGUUGUAUUUUAGAUAUUGUAUUUUGUGAUAUUUAAGAUACUUUGGAUAUUUUGUUUCCAAAGUUGAAUUCUCAAUUUGAAUGUGUAAUACAAUUUGGAUGUUCAAAUAUUGUAUUUUAGAUGUUUAAUAUAUUUGUUUGGAUGUUAUAAUUUAUUUGGAAUGCUGGAUGUGAUGUUGUAUCUUUUUUGGGUGUUGUAUUCUAAAUAUUAUAUUUUGUGAUGUUUAAGAUACUUAGGAUAUUUUGUUUUCCAAUAUUGAAUGCUUAAUGCAUUUUUUAUGUUCAAAUGUUACAUAGAUAUUUAAUAUAAUUAAAAUAUUUAAUUUGGAAUGUUGGAUGUAUAAAGUACUUUGGAUAUGUUAUUUCAAAUGUUAUAAAUAGAAAGGAAACUUACAACUCAUUCAUAUAUAAAAGUUUAUUUGACCUUAAAGAAACAAGAGGAAACUUACAACUCAUUCACAUAUAAAAGUUCAUUUGAAUAUAAAGAAAUAGAGAGAAAACUUACAAUAUUCAUAUACAAAAGUUCUUACAUGACAUCUAGAAAUUAAAUAAAACUUUAAUAAUUAACAAACAAAGUAGGAACAAAAAAAAUACAUUUUCUUCUCAUAAUCCCUUUUGUUUGCAUUAACCCUUGCCGACAGUUCUUUGAAUUUGGCUUUCAGGAUCUGAAUUUCUUCGUGCAUCUCAUUUACUUGAUCCAACAGUUGUUGCUUUGAAGAUAUCUCGGAUGUUAUUUUUGAUGCGUGAUCUAAAAAUUUAUCGAUUUUUGAAUUAUUUAAGCUACCAAUGCUGGAUGUAUCUUUAUGUUUUAGAUCACGCCACAUGAAAAAAUCACAAUAAUUUUCAGAGAUCUUUCCGUAUUUCGGACAUCCAAAAAUUAUUUUCCUUUGCUCUUAGGUUGUUGUGAAACUCGAAAAACAGCUGGUUCAUUACAAUUGCAACGAACAACUCUACUUUCUCCAGAAUUUUCUUUAGACCAACCCAUCGCAUGGAAUACUUAUUUUCAGAUAACCUGCAUUCAAAGCUAUUAAUUAGUAUAUUAAGUUGAAAAAAUUUACAAAAAACUUGCAUUAAGGAAAAUUUUUGGGGGAAGGGUGGCUUCAGGCAGCUUUUUUUUUCUUUUCUUUUUUUUUUUGCUUCUAGGUAGUGAAGGGUGAGAGGUUGGGGGUGCGGCGCACCAGUGCGCACGUGCGCGCGAGGGGGGAUGGGCGGCGCACCUACCUGCGCCCGUGGGGUGGGGGUUGCGGUGCACCUGCUAGCACUACCCCAAGGGCGAGACGAGCGGCGACGUCGUUGCAAGUAUUACUACCCUCUACACCACCCGUGCUAGGACUCUUUUCGAUACUAGAGCAUCUCAUUUAUUCAUAUUGCUUUCAUUUGCACGUGAGCAUGAUUUCUCACCGAGUCCACUCUCUUCGGCGCUCCCGAUUGAGACACCCAGAAUUGUUCUAGAAGCAGACAGAUGCAUCAUGUCGUGCCUCGUUGUUUUGGGCAAUAGGGCGUUCCUGGCGAACCUGGUGUUGAUCCCGAUUAAAGAGUUUGAUGUGGUGCUUGGGAUGGACUGGCUCAUCAGACACCACGCUUCUAUAGAUUGCGAGCGGAGGAUUGGAGGAUUGGAGGAUUGUGACAUUCGUGGUGCCCGAUGAAGAGGAGUUCGUCUACAAAGCAUGUAAGAGCUCCUUUUUCGCCAUGACUAUCUCUUCAGUUAGGGCAAAAAGGCUUAUGAAUGACGGAUGCGUGGCCUAUCUAGCUUCGGUGGAUGUCAUCCGCCGGGCGGCAACAGCGUUGGAGGAGAUUUCGAUGGUUCGAAAGUUCCCUGACAUAUUUCCAGCAGAGCUACCGGGGAUGCCUCCAGACCGGGAGAUCGAGUUCUUUAUUGCGUUGGUCCCCGGCACGACACCGAUCUCGAAGGCUCCUUACCGAAUGGCCUUCGCUGAGCUGAAGGAGCUAAAAGCUCAGCUCGAGGAUCUGCCGGAUAAGGGAUUCAUCAGACCUACUGUAUCUUCCUGAGGUGCACCAGUCCUCUUCGUCAAAAAGAAGGACAGUAGUCUGCGGCUAUGCAUCGACGAUCGGGAGCUUAAUAAGGUCACGGUGAAGAAUAUGUAUUCUCUUCCUCGGAUCGAUGAUUUAUUCGACCAGCUUCAAGUAUCAUCUGUUUAUUAGAAGAUUGAUCUGCAGUCUGGUUAUCACCAACUGAAGAUCCGAGCCGAAGAUGUGCCAAAGACAGCUUUCCGAACUCGUUACGGCCACUACGAGUUCACGGUGAUGCCGUUCGGGCUCACUAAUACUCCGACUGCCUUCAUGGAUAUGAUGAAUAAGGUCUUUCGGCUAUUUUUAGAUUAGUUUGUCGUGGUCUUCAUUGACGACAUUUUGAUCUACUCGUAGAGUGAGGAAGAACACAAGGAUCAUCUAUGACUAGUACUCCAGCUACUUCGAGAGAACAAGCUUUAUGCUAAGUUCAAGAAGUGCGAGUUCUGGCUCCGCAAGGUGUCCUUCUUGGGGCACAUCGUGACUCAAUCAAGUAUCAUGGUGGACCCAAAGAAGGUGGCUUCAGUGGUUGAGUGGCCUAGACCAACCACGGUGGCCGAGAUCAGGAGUUUCCUUGGUUUGGCAGGUUAUUAUCGGCGAUUUGUUGAAGGCUCUGCCAAAAUCGCCACAUCGUUGAACAGGUUGACGAGAAAAGGGAAAAAGUUUUGGUGGACUCCUGAGUGUUAGCAGAGCUUUAAGGAGUUGAAGGAUAGAUUGACCCGUGCACCCAUUUUGACCUUACCGUGACCUAGUAAGGACUUCAUGGUCUAUUGUGAGGCCUCACGGGUAGUAUUGGGGUGUGUGCUCAAGCAGUAGGACCGGGUCAUUGCUUACACAUCAAAUAACGUGGGUGACUUUAAGUGCUAUAUACACGGCUAGUUCAUCUAUUCUAUUACUAUAUACUAAAGUAGAACCCUUUAUGAACCCUAUGUGAGAAGCUGACACGUGGCUUUCUAUAUGCUUGCCACGUGUUAAGCUCAAAUAUAGAUUUUUACUAUAUUAUUAAAUUCAAAUGGUAGGUGGAUUAAUGAGAUAUUUGAGAAAUUUACGGAUAUUACGUUGCGAAAGAAUUGGCGGGUGCGAAUAUUACGCGUGAGAAGGAAAAUAUUUGAGAAACGCGUAGAUAGAAAAUAUGAUAUAUAUGCGAGGGUAAUAUUGUCACAAAAAGUAACAGAUACUUUUAUUUUCAAUCAUUAGAUAAGAUCUAACGGCAAAAAAUUUACGUUGCGAAAGAAUUGGCGGGUGCGAAUAUUACACAUGAGAAGAAAAAUAUUUGAGAAACGCGUAGAUAGAAAAUAUGAUAUAAAUGCGAGGGUAAUAUUGUCAAAAAAAUAACAUAUACUUUUAUUUUCAAUCAUUAGAUACGAUCUAAUGACAAAAAAUUAAUAUCUUUUACUAUAUUAUCAAAAAUCACAUAUAAUGAAGGGGAUUUUAUUUCAAAGUCACCUAUAAUUAUAUUGAGAUAUUUGAGAAAUUCACGGAUAUACGUUGCGAAAGAAUUGGCGGGUGUGGAUAUUACGCGUGAGAAGGAAAAUAUUUAUCUUUAUUUGAGAAUAAAUUAUUACUUACUUAGUUAUUUGAAAUGAUUGGUUGAAAAUUACUGGACAUAAAAAUAUUAGUAAAAAAGGAUAGGGGCAUUUUUGGAAAGAGAAAAAAAUUCAAAACUCACGCUUUUAUAAGUAGUAUAGAUAUAGAUAUUGCAUGUCACUUUCCUACUAUCACUCCUUCUAUAAUUUUCAUUUUGUAAUUUUUUUUUCCCUUUGUAAUUUUCUUAGUUCUUAAAUAUUGAUGCUUUAAAAUAGAACAUAUUAUUUUCAUUUUAUUAUUUAAAUACGAAGCAAGUAUUAAUUUUUUUUCUUGGAUGUCUUAUUGUUCUCAGGAUAUGGCACUUGGGUAUGAUUCUAUACGUAACAUCACUCCUCUUGGAGACAAAUGAAAGAUCAAGGUCAAAGUGAUUUGUCUGUAUACUAUGCCUGAAUUUCAUCGUCCAGAGGUGGUGAAUAGCCUAGAGUUAGUUCUUUCUGAUCAAAAUGUAAGAUACGACUUUCAUUUUCAAAUUGAACAUACGUUUGCUUUUGUUUUUACUAAAAGAUACUACAUCAUUUGUUUAUUUUCUAUUUUAGAGAGAUAGGAUACAUGUAACGGUAAGAAAAGCUUUCUUGAACAAAUUUAAAGUCCUUUUUACGGAAGGAAAGGUUUAUGUGAUCAACCAGUUUGGAGUGGUGCAGAGUAGCGGCUCCUACAGGACCACUAUACAUCCUUACAAAAUAAAUUUUCAAUAUUCUACGGUUGUAUGUGAGAUGGAAGAUGUUUUGACAAUAUCAAAGUAUGGAUUUAUAUUUACCCCUUUCGAUGAAAUACUUGCUAAUGUCGCUAAUCACAAAUAUUUAGUAGGUAAGAGUUGUUUCAUGCAUCAAAUAUUUAAUUUUUAAAAUUUAAUUUUUAAUAUGUGUACCUACUAUAUUGAUUCUUACAUUUUAUUUUUCUAAUUUAUCAGAUGUUAUUGGGAAGCUUUCUGGAAUUAGUAGAAUGGAAGAAAGCUGCAAGGACGGUAAAUAAACAAAAAAGAUUACGAUACUACUUGAGGAUGACAAGUAGGUGCUCAUAAUUAUAAAUAUAUCUUUUGAAUGUUUAUAUAUAUUUUUUUUCAGUUAGCUGAUUAUUAUUAUAAAUAAAUGACUAGAUUGACAGUUAUAUCCAAAACAAAUUAUAUUGUAUUUAUCAAUCUGAUAACUUUAUAAUACGACACUCAUGUCUACAUCUUAAAUAACGGUACUUCACGUUCUUUGAGAAACAUAGACAAGUCUUCAGGUUUAUGCAAUGGAACCAGAUUAGUGAUCACUCAAUUGGGAAAAUACAUACUAGAAGCAAAAGUGAUCUUUAGGAGCAAUAUUGGGGAGAAGGUGUUUAUAUCCUAUAUGGUGAUUACUCCAUCAGACUCUAAGUUACCUUUUAAAAUACAAUGAAGGCAAUUCCCGUUGGCUGUUUGUUUUACUAUGACAAUAAACAAGAGUUAAGGUCAAUCGUUAUUACAUGUUGGCUUAUAUCUACCUAGACCGAUAUUCAGUUAUGGUCAGUUAUAUGUUGCAAGGACGGAUUGAAUAUUCUAAUUUAUGAUAAAGAUGGUUUGUUAUCCAAAACCACAAGCAAUGUGGUUUUUAAAGAAGUGUUUCAGAACUUAAAAUAGGUGAGUGGUUUAUUUUUCUUCAUUUUAUUUCAAAAUUUACAAUUUUUCAACAAUUCAACUCUGCCAUUUUUUUAAAAAAUAAAUUUAGAUAUUUUUCUGAAAAAUUCAGUAAUAUUAUGAUAUUUAUCAUUUCACUUAUCUAACAAUUUAUCUAUAUUGUUAUUUGAGCAGGCACUUUCCAUCUUCAUGGAACAAAGUUUUUUUUCUUUAUAUUUUCUUGAAGACCAACAUCUAUAUAUUUUUGAAUCUUAAAAGUUUGUAUAUCUCUCAUAUAUGAAAGUUUAGUUGAUCUCAUUAUAUGCUUAAAUAUUAAUGUCAUUUGUAAUUUUUCAUAUCAAUUUUAGUUAUCAUUUUGUUUUGCACAUUAAUAUGUAAAUGUAAAUUAUUUUGUACACCAAUUCAUAGAUAAUAGAGCAGGGUUGAAUUUUGCUUUUUACUUGAGUAUUUACUUUGGUCUAUAAUUUUUUUCUCUAACUUUUGUACUUUAAUAUGUACUAAAAUUAAGAUUGAUAGUAUAUUUCUUUAUUUGUUAAAAAAAAUGUUAAUUAGAAUAUUUUUUUUAUCAUCACAUAAUAACUUUUGUUAUUUUAUAUUAUUAUAUUAUCCGUGCAUGUCACGCCCCGAGGUCCCUUUUAGUUUGAAACACAGCGGAAAAGAGUCUUUGAAAACCUGACCACGGGGUAUACCAAAUCCGCCACAAAUACAGAAAAUUCACCGUUUACACGGAUAGAGUCUCCCCUGUAUUUGCACGGCAUCGCACAAGUACAAAAGUACAAACAGAGUAUAACCAGGAUACAACCACAAUACAUGAAUAUACAAUACUCAACAUGCAUUCACCAUUCACCAAAUAUUUACCAUUCAGUGUUUAAAUAUAGAAGCCACGAGAAAACUCUUUUGAAAGCUGUUUUCCACACGGAAACCUUUUCUUUUUAAAACACGCUACCACGAGGGGUAGAAAACUAUUUUUCUUUUUCACAAAAUCCACGAGUUCUAUAGUUUAUUCAAAAUCACAUGAAUUCGAAUAAUAUAAACCAAUUGAACCAUGAAAUAUUAAAGCUAUUAAUAACAAAAGUAAACAGGAUAGGAACUAAACCAACAAACUGGGUCGGAAGCUCUAGCGACCACUACGAACGUGUCUCACGUCUCGUCUCAACUCUCACCGCCCGCGAUACUUGAAAAAUGGCGGGGGAGGUGAGAACAUGUAAACAUGUCUCCCCUCCCAGUGGGUACCAAAAGCCGAUGAAGGCGAGGAGUACUCACCGGAUCAGGAAGAGCUAAACAACAGUACGGGUCAGUAGAAAAUACAGCAGUGAUAAUAAUGAAUGAAAGAGACAUAUAUAUGAAAGAAAGUACAACUACCGCUACUGUAAUGAACAACUGAAUGUAUACCUGCAACAAGACUAUAGUAGCAAGAAAAUGUAACUAAAGAACUGAAGGUAUACAAGCGACAACAGCUACUAUAGUUAUAUGCGUCAACCAGACGAUAAGUCCAAAAUACCCAAUCUGUAAUGGCCGUAUUGGUACCCAACACCUCAGGCCAAUGCCCAUCUACUCUGACAGAAACAAGCCAUAUUGGUACCCAACACCUCAGGCUGAAAGCACAUAACCACACUAGGGCUCACGGGUUGACACAAGCAACCACUUUUCCGGAAAAGAACACCCUCUUGUGGUGGAUCAGACCGCUGGUGUUCAUGAAAUGCGACGAGUAUCGGGCGGUCAAUGCUGAUAUGCUCAAAGGCCAAACGUUGGCAACCAGCCGACAAUCCUGCCCACAGGGCUCAUCGACCGUAUAGGUCAUCAACUGUAAGGAAGCACAAGAACUGACCACUCAGGUCAACUAGGAUGGGACAACAUCAACAUCCUCUCAAACAUAUGCAAAUACUGUUCAAUGAACCACAAGAACUGACCACUAAGAUCAACUGGGAUAUAUGCACAACGAAUCGACGAAUAAAUCAUCAGGGUGUAUCAAUAGAAUUCAGAACUACCAUCGGCCACUAGCCAACAAUCCAACCCCUCUAGAGUACAUCGACCACGACGGUCAUCAAACGACAGAAGUCAAGGAACCGACCGAAUGUGUCACAACUACGGGAUACAAGAACAGACCAACCAGAUCACUGAUACGAAGUACGAGAACUAACCAACCAGGUCACUGAUACGAAGUACAAGAAUCGACCUACCAAGUCACUGAUAUGAAGUACAAGAAUCGACCUACCAAGUCACUGAUAUGAAGUACAAGAAUCGACCUACCAAGUCAACAGAUACGCACAUAGAUAGAACCACUCUACUCCUACUCAGGAUACUAAGCAUGCAAACAACGAGUAGAGUAUAAUGGAAUAACAUGGGUGCAAGGCUCAAUAUAUACUAUGCAAUAAUAACAACAGAAGAGUAAGGGUAAGAAACCAUCACCAAGCGUGCACCACUGUACCGACGUCGGAUCGAAGUACCCACCUGUACAAAUGUCGCACCUGUCUCCUGACUGCAAAAGAACAUCAACCAGACCUAAGGAGGGUCCACUGGGUUAGUUUCCAACCUACAAACAAUAAACGCUGAAUCUACAACUCCACAAACUAAAACCCACGGAUAUCGGUUUUCCAAAACCGAUUACCGUAACUCGCCGGAAGUCUCGAAAUCGCACCGGGACUCCGUAGGGACCCACGAACUGUCCCGGAACGUACCGACUCGUGCUACGAGUCAUCCGCUGCCACUAAACAUCAAUAAUCGUGCAUCAUGGCAGCAAACACCACUCCUCACGUCGAAACAACUAUCGUCGGAUAAUCGUUUCGAUCCGGGUUCCCGGAAGUGUCAAUUUCGACUUCGGAACCCACCGUCGCUCACCCGUCAUGUUUGAACUCUCGAAAUGACGCGAGUGACCAGCCAACAAGGCUCAGCGACUACACAAUAGUUCACGAAGCACCAUCGGAAUAAUUCCGAACCGAACUCACGUUCCGUCGGCGGAUUUCGCCGAAAAAUGCGCCGGAAAUGCAUUUCCAAUCUUCGCAAAGGUCUGGGGCGUUGGACAAUCAGUCCAGAGGUCACCCACUGUAACACACUGGAUCUUUGCAAAUUACGAGGUUCGAGUGUUUGGAUGUAUUUCGAGCUUUUCCACACUUGGUGGAGGGUUGUGGAAUGUUUUUCGACCUAAAAAGUUCGAAAAUCGAAAUUCUGGAGAAGUCCUGAGAGUUUUCACUCUCGGGGACCGGUCCCUGGGAGGAGAGACCGGUCCCCCAGUGAGCAGUACUGCGGCAGCCUUGAGGCAACUGGUCCCUGGCGGGCGAGACCAGUCCCCGAGCGCGUCUACGCAGUGAGAGACCGGUCCCGCGCAAGGAGAGACCGGUUCCCGAACGCUGGUUUUUCGGGUUCGCAACGAGAGACCGGUCCCUGCUGGGGAGAGACCGGUCCCUAUGGGCGAAAACUGCCCAGACCGGGCUGAUGUAAUAUUGGAUUUUUGUUGAGCCUCUUAGGAUUUUGUUACAAUAGAGGGUCUAUAUGAUCCCUCCACUCUCUCCUCUCCCCAUUUCUCUUCUCUCAACCCUCUCUACACCCUUGAUAGAGAAGAAGAAGAAGAAGGAGAAGAAGAAGAAGAAGAGAGGGAGAAGAAGUUUGGUGCUACUAGUGGACUUGGGGCAUCUUCCUCACCUUCUCAUCUUCCUUGGUGCUUGAAGGCUUGGACUUGGAGCUUGCAAAGAGAGAGAUCUUCACCCUUGGAGCUUGGAUUGGAGCUUCUAUGGAGGUUUGUUGCUCAUUCCCUCCCUCUAGACCUUGAUUUGAGGAUUUUUAGUAGAUGGAACCCUAGUUUUGAGACUUAGGGUUUAUUUUGGGCUUUUUGAACCUAGGGCUUUUGAGGCUUGAUUGGUUGGUUUAGAACCUUCCUAGGGCUUGGAUUGGAAGGCUUCUAGCUCUCUUUUGGAGCUUAGGAGAAGAUUUCUACUAUUGAGGUAAGUUUUGGCCCUUUUUGCUCCUAGGCUAAUGUUUGAUAUUAUAAUUAAGAUGGUCGUAAUGCCUUCGUAUCUCUUCGCUGAUUACUUUUAGGAUAUUUUGAGACUCGGGGACAACUUUGUUCGGCGAAACGAGGCGCUACGCGACGGUUCGAUGGGUUUGACCUAGCCUACACAUGAGAAAUUCUCAUAAGUGGUUAUAUAUGUUCCGUAAAUUGAAAAAGCAUGCAUAUUCAUACUAAAUGUAUUUAUUAUGAUUUUUAGAAUGCUUAAAAUGCAUAUGUUAUAUAUAAUGAAAUUUUGGACCUCUAUGUAGUAGAGAGUUGCUUGAGAGUGAGUUGGUUGCAUUUAGCAUUCUAUACGAGAUCCGGUUUCAUGUUUCUAUAGUGUAAUGAGUUCGAAUUCAUGCAUUUAAACUUAAGUUUACUUGUGACAUGAAAGAUGAUGAAAUUGCCAUAUAGAGGUACUGAGCUAGAAUGUAUGUGAACUAGCGAGCUAAUGUCAUCAAGCGGCAUUGAGCUCGGGACAUGUGUGAACCUAGUGGAUAGGGCCAUUGAGGGACUUGGGAUACAUGUUGGACAUCAAAUUGCCUAAGUGUCAUCAAGGGGCACUAGGCGUAGCAAAAGCUGAAAAUUCACAUUAUGCCUUAAACUAGAUCUUCGGGAUGCUAGUGACUAUACCAUGUUAGAGACAUGAGGAUUGGAUACUUGAGACUUGGACUUUGCUUGCUUGCCAUUUGUGCUCAUUCGCACAUGCUUGUGAGGGUCGCUCCCUACAAGCCGGCACUCCGGAGUUAGCCUACGCGACUUUUGUUCGCUCGUGCGGUAUUGAGAAGCCUACGGGGUCGAGUGGGACAGACACAUUCCAAGAGUAGGGAUGUUGGGCUACCACAGGCACUUAGGCGGCACAAGCUGGACUACCUUUGGUAGGUCCUUAAGUGGAAAUGGAAAUCGACACGGGGUUGAGAGUGGUUAAUCACUACUAGAUAGGUUAGUAGUUGAAUGACAUUUAUAUGCUUUUAGCAUAGGGUCGAGACAUGUAGUAUACUUGAUAGCCUCCUUUUGCAUUAAAGCAUACUUGGUUGCCAUGACAGAACUAAUGCAUAAUGUAUUCAUAAUGGUUAAUGAUUUACUAUUUUGAUAUCACAGAUGUACAUCACCUUGACAUCCGUUAUACUUGAGUUUGGUAAUUUAGCAUUUUAAUUAGGCUUUCAUAUCGCAGUCAUUAUUGCUAUUGUUAUUGUACUUAUCCUUUUCUUUUGGGGCCUAGUGGUGCAUUGAGCUGAGGUCAGUAAUUGCCCACUGACAACUAUAAACUAUAGUUCUCACGCCCUCUUUUUCUCGAUGUUUUUCAGAGCCUUCCACGCAGGGUGAGGCCAGGGAUCGCGGGAAGGGAGUUGCUACGAGCUAGCUUCCUUCGAGGACGAGUUGCUAGGUGGUCUACCUCUCGAUGUCUUAUUUUGUUUUGCGAGAGGUUGAGGGUGUUACCAGUGUACUAGAGACCACCAUUUUUGUACUAGAGACAGUUGUUGUACUACUUAUGAUUUCUUUUAUUGUCUAGUUUUACUUAAUUACUUUGGUGUAGAUGUUAGAACUUUACUCGCUCUGAUAUCAUUAGUUGCUAGUUAUUUCACUUCUUUUAUUUGUUCUAUCUCUUGCUUUACUUCCGCUUUUAUUGUAGACGCCUUAUAUGUGUAGACAUAUGGCGGGUCUGGGCACGCUAACCGGGAGGGCCUCCGCCGGUCCAGGGGCGUGACACCCACUGCUCACCCAUGCUGCCAACAGCAGCCACGAUGAACCAAAAUGCAUAAAAACGCACUCGAUUACCCGAAAUCAGUGGGCGGCGGCGGCGCUUGGAAGACGAGGGGACUCGGCCAUAGCCCGCACGGGUCUGGGCGGCCGCAGGAUGGAGGAGCGACGGCCGGCGGUCCACGGGGAUGGCCGGGAUGGCGAGCGGCGACGAGCGGGAGGUCGCCGGAGGCCGCUGCCAGAGGUGGUGCCCGAGGGUUAAGGUCACCCAGAUUGGUUCCACGGCAGGGAUGGUUGGGAAAGAAGGAUGGAGGGGUGGCCGGGUUUCAAGUUUUCCGGCGGCCGGGGCACCUGCCGGCGGCCAGGGUGCGCGCAAGGUUUGGGCAGGGACCUGCUAAAGCUGGUUAGGGCACAGUUGGGAGACAAGGUCGGCUAGAUCUAGGGUUUUGUGCAAAGAAACCCUAGAUGCUAAUUAUAUACAAGUGGACUAUUUGCAGAAAACCCCUCCAACCCAGAAUAUUUAAACCUCAGCCCCUGCCAGGGCGUACAAUUUGUGCGUACAUACCUCCACGUCCGAUCUCACGCGAUUCGGUACAUAAAAUGUCGCGCCUUUCACGGAUUUUCCGAAUUGCCACCUUCGACCUCUUAACGAAAACUUCGCAAUUACCAGAGAUCCGUCCGUCGGAUUUUUGAUCCGACGGCACCAUUGCGUUCAGCACGUCGGGGGCAUCAAAACUACAAUCUUAUUUCGUCAGAUUUGGUCACGGAUUCGCGACGGAACCCAUCCGCUCUCUAAUUAAUCCAUAUAUCGCACAUAUACCAAUGUGUAAACCCAUUAAACCAACUUUCGCAUUAGAAAUUGACUCCCAUACCACUAGUAGGGACCCGAAACAUUCUUCACCCUACUCCAGGUCACAAGCACGGAGCACGAGGAGCUUAAAAAUGAAAGAACAGUCAAGAACGGAAGUCCUCUUUUCGGUAAAAUCCCUUUUUCUCGGAAACCGCGCAUCAGAUCUGGAAUCCGUCAGUGCCAUUGGUUCCAGAAUAGCUGAACCGAUCAAAACGAGCUAUUGGAUCGCUAUGAACGGAGUCCGAUACGCGCCGAAAGCCAACUCUACUCCGUGGCUUCUCCGGAAAACCGGAGUUACUAUUCACUUUAAGGCCCUGUUUUGUAGUAUCCUCAUAUAUAUAUAUAUAUAUAUAUAUAUAUAUAUAUAUAUAUAUAUGGAUGCUGCCACGUACCCCCCUCCCAUGCAUGCAUGCUUAUCCAUUUUAAUUGAGGGUUGCAACCAACACCUCUUUAAUUAAAUUUCCUCCCUAUCUGUCUCUGGAGCCAUACGCAAGGAGGAGGAGCUUGGGUGGAGCGUUCGUCGCCGACGUCGCGUCGCCGAGCCGUCCGAGCAUACGCGCAUCGCCGUAGUUUAGCGAGGAGGCCGGGCGGGGGAGUGUUUUUGUCGUUCUCGACGCCGUGUCGGAAUUGGAGUCGCUGGUUGAGGUGGGUAAUCUCUCAUUCCUCCAUGGAUUUCUUCUCUACUUCAAGCUUCAUUCAAUUCGAGCUUAAGUGCUGNCUAGAGCGCAGGGUGGCUUUGAUGCCAUUUGGGUGAUAGUGGACAAACUGACCAAGUCUGCUCACUUCUUACCGGUUCAGACCAUCUGGUCCAGAGAGAGACUCGCGCAGCUAUACCUGGAUAAGAUCGUCAGGCUGCACGGCGUGUCAGUAUCGAUUGUAUCAGACCGAAACCCGAGGUUUGUGUCGCAUUUCUGGAGGAGUUUACAGACAACUUUGGGGACUCAGUUAUAUUUCAGCACUGCUUUUCACCCACAGACAAAUGGUCAGUCAGAGCGGACCAUUCAGACUCUAGAGGACAUGCUGAGGGCAUGUGUCCUCGAUUUUGGAGGAGGGUGGUAUCGACAUUUGAGACUGGUUGAGUUUGCGUACAACAACAGUUAUCAAACGAGCAUCCAGAUGGCUCUGUUUGAGGCGUUGUAUGGACGCAGAUGUCGAUCCCCUUUGUUUUGGAGCGAUGUGGGUGAGAGGAGGACAUUGGGGCCUGAGAUUUUGCUGGAGGCUGAGGAAAAGGUGAGAGUCGUUCGACGACACCUUCUGACAGUACAGAGCCGACAGAGGAGCUACGCCGAUAUUAGGAGACGAGACUUAGAGUUUCAGGUUGGAGAUCAUGUUUUUCUCAAAGUCUCGCCGUCCAGAGGGAUACGCCGUUUUGGAGUACGUGGAAAGCUUAGUCCACGGUUUGUUGGCCCUUUCGAGGUAUUAGAGCGUAUCGGACCGGUGGCUUACAGGAUAGCUCUACCCCCGCGACUUGCUGGCAUCCACGAUGUUUUCCACGUCUCAGCAUUGAGGAGAUACGUUUUCGACCCCUCUCACGUGAUUGACUUCACUCCACUCGAGAUUAGCGAGGAUCUGAGAUACGAGGAGCGACCGGUGCGGAUUCUUGCUCGCGAGACGAAAGAAUUGCGCAACCGGGUCAUCCCGUAUGUAAAAGUGCAGUGGAGCAAUCACGAGGAACGGGAGGCGACUUGGGACUUUAUUCUUGCUCCCUUCUGUAGACUUAGUGGGUGGACUGAUAUUGUUUUGGGCGGCACCCACUGAGGACUACUUGUUUCUACAGUAGUUCUCACACCCAGUUUUUACCCCGUUUUUGCAGAGUCUUCGUCUUCGGCUGCUGCUGUUGCUGGUCAGGAGCUAGGCAAGGGUGCCACGAGUUAGAGCCCUACCCGAGGAGCAGAGCUACAGGCACCCCUACUGCAGGUAGAUGUUUUAGUUUGGGUUCAUGUACAUACAGACUUUUAACUCGCCAGUGCGAGUAGCUUUGUACUCUGGGAUUCAGUGUAUGUAUAUGGAACUCGGUUUUUUUUACUUUACUAGUUCUUCUAGCAGCUCUAUACUACUGUUUGUAGUAUUGUAUGUUUUACAGGUACAGCUGUCGCUUCGUAUACAGGAAAAAUUUCUUUGUAUACGGCGGAUUUGUCGGCGUGUCGGGGGAACGUGUAAUCCGGGGCGUGACAUGUUUGGUUGGGGAACAAAGAUGGGGAUAAGGGGUUAUCCCCUCCUUGUUCCCCAAAUACUAUAUCUAAGGGUGGGAACAAGCUAUUCCCACCCUUAACGUGUUAUGCCAGAAUAACACGUUAAGGGUGGGAAUAGCUUGUCCCACCCUUAGGUGGAAUAGGGGUGGGAACAACUUGUUCCCACCCCUAUUUUUUUUUAAAAAAAUUAAAAAUUAAAAAUUAAAAAUUUUAAUUUUAAUUUUAGUUUUAAAAAUUUAUAAUUGGUAAUUUCAAAAUUUAAGUUUAUAGAUUUAAAUUUUAAAUUUUAAAUUUUAAUAUAAUAUUUUAUAUUUUUUUAAUAUAAAUUUUGUUAUUUAUAGGCCUUUUUGCAUAAAAAAUCCACUUAUUUUGGGCUUUUGCAAAAUCGGGUCAUUUUUUUCGUUUUUGCAGAUUCGGUCCAAUUUUUUAGUAAACUGACCAAAAUACCCUUAUUCUUUGUCUUUUAACUUCUUUACUCUUCCUUUCGUUUUUCUGUUUUAUUUUUUUAUUUUCGUUCUUUUUCGCGCCAUCGCGCGGAGCCCUUCCGCUUCUUUUAACGCAAACCCGAACCCUAUUCUCUCGCCCUGCUGCCCAGCGAGUCCACCCCCGUGUCUGCCUCCUCUUUCUCGAACUGCUCUUUCUCUCUCUUCCUCGAAGGCCCUUCCUCACCUCCCGAUCGCCCUCUCCUAAGCACCGCACGAAGCUCGGUCCUCCUCCUUCGCCCCUCACAGCGAAUCCUGCACGCAAAAGCGUCGUCACCGAAGUUGCAGGGGCGGAGCAAGCUCCUCGUCAAGCUCAAGGUCGAGGAGUCCCCGAUCGUCUCCCUCUUCACGCGAAGCUCCGCCGCCGAGCCCCUUCUCCUCUCCCCCACCGCCGCCGCCGAGCCCACCCCCACCGUCGUCUCCGUCGCCGUCGCCGUCGCUGAGCCCACGUCCCGGCCCUUGCCGACCGCCUCGUCACCCUCCAAUCGCCUCGUCACUCCCCUUGCUGAGCCCUCGUCACCCCCACCGUCGUUUCCGUCGCCGUCACCGUCGUCUCCGUUGCCGUCGCCAAGCCCACGUUCCAUUAAUGGUGUAAUGGUGCACCAUUGCACCAUUACACCAUUAAUGGUGUAAUGGUGUGCACCAUUACACUAAUGGUGCACCAUUACACCAUUACACCAUGAAAUUACACCAUUAAUGGUGUAAUGGUGCACCAUUACACUAUGAAGAAGAAAAAGAAGCAGCCGCAGCGCGCCCGCAUGCCCGCCCGCUGCCGCUGCGUGCACUGGCCCCGCCGCCGACCCGGCCCCGCACCGCGGCUGCGCGCCCCGCGCCAGGAGCAGCCCGCGAUCAGCACCUCCCCCGCCGCCCCGAUGCCUCAAGCGGCGUCGUCGACCCGCGGCCCGGGGGCUCGACCUUGGCGCCGAACUCCAGCAGCAGCUGGACGAGGUCCGGCCGGCCUUGCGCGAUGGCCGAGUGCAGCAGGCCGACGCCGGACGCGUCGACGGCGUCGGCCGGGCGCCAAUCCGGGUCGCUCCACUCCAGCCGCCGGCGACGAACUCCGCAACCUCUUCCUCCGCCGCGCCGCCGACAGCGACGACGACCGCGGCGGCAGACGAGGGGCUCGGCGACGGAGACGACGGUGACGACAGCCAUGGGGCCGUCGCCACCAUGGCCGUGGGGUCGGCGACGGCGACGGAGACGACGGUGGGGGUGGACUCGGCGGCAGCGGCGGGGGAGAGGAGGAGGGGUCGUGGGCGGUGGAGAGGAGGGUGAGGAGGGAGGCAACGGUGAAGAAGGAGGGUGAGGAGGGAGGCGACGGUCCGAUCCGCCUCUUUUUUUUCGGCGAGAAAAAAAAAAGAACGACAGAAACGAAGAGGAGAGAGAAAGAGGAAAGAGAAAAAGUAAUAAGGGUAUUUUGGUCAGUUUGCUGAAAAAGCGGACCGAAUCUGCAAAAACGAAAAAGGUGGCUCGGUUUUGCAAAAGUCCAAAAUAAGUGGAUUUUUUAUGCAAAUUGGCCUUAUUUAUUUUUUAAAAUUUAAAUUUGAUCUUAAAUUUUAAAUUUUAAAAUUUGAAAUUAAAAAUUUAAGAGUUUAAUUUCAAUUUUUGAAUUUUAAAGAAAGUAUUUUUAGGAUCACCUUGCUUGUUCCACCAGUAAAAUUUAAAUUUUCUAAAUUCAAAAAUUAAAAUUUAUAAUUUUAAAAUUACAAAAUUAAAAAUUAAAAAUUUAAAUUGUUUAAUUUAAAAUUUUAAAAUUUGAUAUUUUAUUUUUUUGAUAUUUAGAAUAUGAUAUUUUGUAUUUUUAAAUUAAAAUUUCAUCUUAAAUUAAAGUUCAAAAUUUAAAAAAUUAAUUUUUUAAAAUUAUAAAUUUGAGAUUUUAAAAUUUUAAAUUUAAAUUUUAAUUUUUAAACUUUAAAAGUAUAUAUUUUAAAUUUUAAAAUAUAAAUAUAAAAUAUAAAAAUUUAAAUUCUAAUAUAAAGAAAAAAAUAAUAUCAUUAUUUUUUAUUUAUAAAUACUCACUUUAAUUCUUAUCCCAUCUUACCUAACCAAACGCUAUUUUUCUUAUUCUCAGGAAUACUUAAUUUUCAUCUAAACGCAAAAUUCAUCUAAUCCCCGUUUAUACCUCAAUUUAUACCUAUCCCCGGAAUAUCCACUUUUUGCUUAUCCCCGAACCAAACGAUACCUAAGUGAUUAGUUUUAAUCGCAUAACUACUCCGUUCUAACUCAUUUUCUCCUGAAACUUGACGAGUAAUUUAUGUAAUUAAAUUACACACAUAAACAUCAUCAACAGAGAGUUUAGUUGCACUGUAAAAAUCUCAGUCCUUACAGUGCAUCGCACGGGUCAAAUACUAGUUAGCACUAAUAACUUGUGCAUGAGCAUUUGGUCCAGCGGUUUCAGCCCAACAAGUUGCUAGAGCUAGUGGGUUAGGUCGUUACAUAUUAGAUACUCAAGAACUUACAAUUUGGAACAUGAUAUAUAUAUAUAUAUAUAUAUAUAUACAUAUAUAUAUAUGAGUUGAGCUAGAAUACUAUCGGUAGUAAACGAGUGUUUUACUACCGAUUGUUUUCGAUGAUAGAGCUUCCAAAUUGACGAUCGGCUCCAUUUUAAUUGAUCUAAACAUUUAAACUACUAGAAAUCAAAUUUCACGGCACUUUCGAUAUUGUUCUUUUAUCAUCAAAGUGAACAGAAAAAUGAAUGGCUGAAAUGAAUACUCUUUAAAAAAUGAUGAUAGGAGUCUUGUAAUCAAGAUCAGAGUAUAGAUCUUGUUUUAAAGUUUAAAGAAUUUUUAACAAAAAUUCAAUUUAUUUGGAUAUCUUUACGCCGUUAAACGAGAAAACGCUCUUACUCGACCAUUAAAUUACAAAAUUUGAAACCCUUUGAUCAUUAGGCAAAUGAUGUCGAAAGAUUUGAAAUUUGAUUUCUAAACAUUUCAAGUGGUAUAGAUCAUAUUCAAGCGGAGCCGAUCGUCAAUUUGGAAGCUCUAUCAUCGAAAACAAUCGGUAGUAAACGGCUCGUUUACUACCGAUAGUAUUCUAGCUCAGCUCUCUCUCUCUCUCCUUUCUCUCUUCUUCUCUCUCUCUCUCUCUCUCUCUCUCUCUCAUAUAUAUUAUAUAUAUAGGAAAACUUCAAAAACCCCCUUGUGGUUUCGUGCAUUCUCAUUUAGUACCCUGUGGUUUAAAACGUAUCAAUUUGCCCCCUGUGGUUUCAUUUUUAUCUUUUUCGGAAGCUUUUUCGUUAAUAUUUCGUUAAUUAUAUACAAAAACUUCAGUAACCAUCUAUAUUUAUCGAAUUAUUCACUUUAGUAUCCUUUAAUUUUAACUUUGUCACUGAUUUUUAACCCCCCCCCCGCCCACAACAUACACAACACACACACCACACACACACACACACACACACACACAUAUAUAUAUAUAUAUAGUUUUAUUGGUUUACAAAUUCAUUAUAAUUAUCAAAUGUCUUGUGGUAAAAAAGACUUUUCUUAAACAAGUCACUUGAACUUUUGACGUGUAUAAUAUCACAACAUCUGAGAUAUAUUUUAUUUUGCUAGUUUGUUCAUCCUUGAGCUGAAGGACUAUAAGAGAAACUAUUAGAUUUUUAUUGGAUUUUGUGAUUUAAAACUUAUUAAAACCACUUGAGGAGCCCAAUAAUUAUUUAUGGGCCUCUUGGGAGCCCAACUUAAAAUAUCCAUGUGAGAUGUUUAGUCCCACAUUGGAAACCAAAAGAGUCUUUGUUGUUUUUAUAUAUUGCUUUAUUCUCAAACUAGUUGUUUGGAAGAAAAUAAGAGUUAUGCUCUCGUUUAUGUAUACGCGCGGCAUGAGCCAGGCCGGGCGAGCGGCGGCGUGCGCGGUCCAUACACCCGGUUCAUUUUAUUUUGUCGGUUUUAUCUUUAUUUUAAUACUUAUCUUUUUACUAAUCCUAAUCAUUAUCUUUAUCCGUAUAAUCUUAGGCUUAUCUUGUUAUACACGGAUUUGACGCGUUGAAGCAAGAUUCUCGCCUAGAUUAUAAAUAUGAGCAAGGUUACACGAGUUAAUUAAUAACCCGAACGUACCUCAAGCCUCUCGUCUUUUUCUACUUUCUGGAUUUUCGCCGUGUAAGGACUAACAUUUUGAUAGUGUAGCUGAACUCUCUGUUGACGAUAUUUUUGUGUGUAAUUUAAUUACAUAAGCACUCGUCAAGUUUCAGGAGAAAACGAGUUAGAACAGAGAAGUUACGCGAUCAUUAGUAUUCACUUAAGUGAAUAGUAACUCCGGUUUUCCGGAGAAGCCACGGAGUAGAGUUGGCUUUCGGCGCGUAUCAGACUCAGUUCAUAGCGAUCCAAUAGCUCGUUUCGACUGGUUCAGCUAUUCUGGAACCAAUGGCACUGACGGAUUUCAGAUCUGAUGCACGAUUUUUGAGAAAAAGGGAUUUUUAUCGAAAGGAGAGUUUUCACUUUUUGCUAGUCUUGCAUUGUGAAACCCCUCGUGCUCCAUGCUUGUGAUCUGGAGUUGGGUGAGAGAUGUUUAGGGUCCCUACUAGUGGUAGGGAAGUUAUUCUCAAGUGCGAAUUAAGGUUUAUCGGGUUUACACAUUGGUAUAUGUGUAAUAUUUGGAAUUUUGGAGAGCGGACAAGUUUCAUCUCAUCACGAAUCCGUGACCGAUCGAGAUGAACCAAAAUUGUAGAUUUGUUGUCUCCGUCGUGUUGAUCACACUGGUGCGAUCCGUUCGCAAAUCUGACGAACGAAUCUGCAGAUAUCGCGCAUUAUUUGAGAAGGGGUCAGUGUUGGCAAAACGGUAAUUUCUCAAAAGUUGCGACAUUUUAUGUACCGAAUCGCGAGGGAUCGGACGUGGAGGUGCGGGCACGCGAUUUACUAGCGCUGUGAAGGGCUCGGUUGUAAAUUUUCAGUUUCGGGGGACUUUUGUGCAAAAUUACCAUUUGCAUAAAUAGUGCAUUUAGGGUUUUCUAUUCUAACCCUAAACCCAGACCUAAUCAGCCGAUCCCAGUAGCCUCCCCUCCCUAUCUUGUGUGCGUCGCGCGCGCCCCAACCGCCAACGCACGCCGCCGGCUGCCGGAGAAGCCGCUCUCCUUCUCCUUCAUUGUUAAUCCUCCAAGAUGCCCUCCAUCCAUGCUCGUGGAACCUACCAGGGUGAUCAGCACCUUCGGGCAUCACCUCUGGCAGCGGCCCCGACCUUCGCCGACCCGCCGUGCCGGUCGCCGCUGUCUCCACGCGCCGUCGUCGCGGCAUGGGCGCCCUACGGCCGAGCUGGAACAGAUCGGGCCGAGCCCAGGACAGCAAUCAUUUUGCCCACUGGUGCUGCCUGGAACCGACCGCGCCACCCUUGCUCCGCCGAGGCUUGACCUCCGGCGCCGUCGCCGCUGUCCCCACAAGUCGCAGUAGCCGCUCUUGCUCCCUGCGGCCUCCCAGAGCAAGCUGGGCCUGAGCCCAAGCUAGCUCGCCAUCCGCGCAUUGCCGCCGCCUUGCGCUGGCCGAGGCGUCUCCAUUUGGCCUUCGGUGAACCAUCGUCGCUGCCCUGAGGUUCCCCUAACAGUCGCUGUGGCCGCUGCCGCUGCUCCCUGUGCCCGAGUCGAGCCCAUGCGGGCUCGGGAUACUCUAGCGCCGCCGCGGCUGCCUCCCGCCAUCGGCCGGUGUGAGCGCCGGCCUCCCAUGGCCGGCCGCACCCGUCGGCCNGACCGGCGUGAGCGCCGGGCCUCUCUGGCCGACUGCACUCACCCACCGCCAGCGCCUAGCCGCCGGAGCUCCCUAUUGGCGGGACUCGACCCAUGCUCUCCUCGGGUUAGUGGGGCUAGGGCAUCAGUGCCCGUCAUCGCCGCCACCUCCCGACGCCGGCCGACGUGAGCCCCAACCCUUAUCCGUCGUCAGCACCCUCCUGCUGCCGGAGCGCUCGCCGCCCAGCUGUCGCCGGCCAGCCCUAGCUCUUCCCUGGCCGGUAAGCUUGAUUUCAGCCUUUCUGCGCAUAGUUUCCUGUUCUCGUCACUGUUCCGGCGACCCGAGGCUGUUCCGAUGCCUCCGGGGGUGAGCACGGUGAUCGUCUGUCAGUCCUGAUCACAGUGCUCACCUCAUUUAGAGUCAACGAGCCCCUGGUUAGUGAGAUAAGCAUGCUUUUCCUGCUGUGCGCGCUAUUUCACUAAUUUUCGCAUCGCUCGUGUGCGUGCCACAGUCGGCAGUGCUCCAAAAGGUGAGCACGGUCUCCGGCACGCCGAUACCUGUCAGUAGGUGUCUCGGUUUAGCUGAAUGACUUCUGGUUUGUGUAGACGGACCAUAAAAGCGCUGAAAUCACAUAAAAUAAUGUGAUUUCGGAUAAUCGGAAGGGCUUUUAUGCAACUUCGUUCAUCGUGGCUGCUGUUGGCAGCAAGUAUGGGCUGAGGAUAACCUCUGGACUGAUCGUCCAAGGCCCCAAGCCUUUGCGGGAAUCAGAAAGUGAUUUUCGGCGCGUUUCUCGGCGAAAUCCGCCGACGAAAUGCGGGUUCGGGUCGGAAUUAUUCCGACGGUGCUUCGUGAUAGAUUGUUUAGUCGCUGAGCCUUGUUGGCUGGUCACUCACGUCAUUUCGAGGGUUCGAAAAUGACGGGUGAGCGACAGUGGGUUCCGGUGUCGAAAUCGACACUUCCGAAAAUUCGGAUCGGAACAAAUAGCCGACGAUAAUCGUUUCAAUGCGAGGCCUUGUGUUGGCUGCCAAGAUAAUCAAUUUGAUGUGUUUUGUGGCAGCGGGUGACUCGUAGCACGAGUCGGUGCGUUCCAGGACAGUUGUGGGUCCCGGCGGAGUCCCGGUGCGAUUACGGGACCUCCCGCGUAUUACGGCGAUUGGUUUGGGAAACCGAUUCCAGUGGGUUUAUUUGUGGGGCUGUGUGUUUAGUAUUUCUUAGUUGUGGGUUAGAUAUUAACCCGGUGGACCCCCCGUAGGUCCGGUUGUCAUUCUUUCGCAGACAGGAGACAGGCGCGAUAUCCUUACAGGUGGGUACUUCGAUCCGACGUCAGUACAGUGGUGCACGCUCGGUGAUGGUUUCUUACCCUUGCUCUUUUGUUAUUAUCCAUGCAUAUACUAUAUGUUGAGCUUUGCACCUCUAUUGUUUACAUUACACUCUACUCAGAUGUUCCCAUUCUUCGUAUCAGGUGUAGGAGUAGAGUAGUCUAUCUAUUUGUGAUACCUAUGACCUGGUUGGUCGAUUCUCGUACUUCGUAUUAGUGACCUGGUUGGUCGAUUCUUGUACUUCGUAUCAGUGACCUGGUUGGUCGAUUCUCGUACUUUGUAUUAGUGACCUUGUUGGUCGAUUCUCGUACUUCGUAUUAGUGAUCUGGUUAGUCGGUUCAUGUAUGUCGUAUCUGUGACCUAUUGCUCGGUUCUUGCAUCUACACUUUAGUUCACCCUUGAGCAGUAUUUGCAUACUUCUGAGAGGAUGUUGAGUUGUUCCAUCCUAAUUGACCUGAGUGGUCAGUUCUUGUUCUUCCUUACAGUUGAUGACCUAUACGGUCGGUGAGCCCUGUGGGCAGGAUUGCCGGCUGGUUGCCGACGGUUGACCUCUGAGCAUAUCAGCAUUGACCGCCCGAGACUCGUUCGCAUUUCACGAACACCGGCAGUCUGAUCCACCGCAAGGGGUGUUCUUUUCCGAAAAAGUGGUUGCAGGUGUCAACCCGUGAGCCCUAAAGGGGUUAUAUGCAUGUUAGAGCGGCAGUGGUACUGUCAGGAGGUCUCCAAUGUGAACCUCCAGGGCACAGGCUUGAGGUUCAGGUGUGGACCAACAGAGCAGCAGAUUUCAGAUUGGGUAUAUUUGGUCUAUACAUCCAGUUGACGCAUAUGUCUAUAAUAGCAGUCGUUGCAUGCAUACUUACAGAUUUUACUUUAUAGUUGUCUUGCUACUAUAGUAGAUAUUCAUGUAUGCUUUCUGUUCUAGUUAUAGUAGCGGUAGCCGUUAUUCAGUAUAGUUCCUACUUUCUUUCAGUUUAUUGCUACUGUAUUCAGUAUAUCUGCUCAUUACCUUAUUUAUCUCUUACUGAUCCGGUGAGUACUCCUCGCCUUCAUCGGCUUGCGGUACCCACUGGGAGGGGAGACAUGUUUACAUGUUCUCACCUCCCCCACCAUUUUUCAGGCAUUGCAGGCGGUGAGAUUGAGACGAGACGUG